rnacentral:rRNA from 1 species
UACCAGCACCCCGAGUGGUCGGGACGUUUAUUGGGCCUAAAGCAUCCGUAGCCGGUUCUACAGGUCUUCCGUUAAAUCCAACUGCUUAACAGGUGGGCUGCGGAAGAUACUAUAGAGCUAGGAGGCGGGAGAGGCAAGCGGUACUCGAUGGGUAGGGGUAAAAUCCGUUGAUCCAUUGAAGACCACCAGUGGCGAAGGCGGCUUGCCAGAACGCGCUCGACGGUGAGGGAUGAAAGCUGGGGGAGCAAACCGG